rnacentral:rRNA from 1 species
GUAGGGGUGAACCUGCGGAGGGAUCAUUACCGAGUUUACAACUCCCAAACCCCUGUGACAUACCACUUGUUGCCUCGGCGGAUCAGCCCGCUCCCGGUAAAACGGGACGGCCCGCCAGAGGACCCCUAAACUCUGUUUCUAUAUGUAACUUCUGAGUAAAACCAUAAAUAAAUCAAAACUUUCAACAACGGAUCUCUUGGUUCUGGCAUCGAUGAAGAACGCAGCAAAAUGCGAUAAGUAAUGUGAAUUGCAGAAUUCAGUGAAUCAUCGAAUCUUUGAACGCACAUUGCGCCCGCCAGUAUUCUGGCGGGCAUGCCUGUUCGAGCGUCAUUUCAACCCUCAAGCACAGCUUGGUGUUGGGACUCGCGUUAAUUCGCGUUCCUCAAAUUGAUUGGCGGUCACGUCGAGCUUCCAUAGCGUAGUAGUAAAACCCUCGUUACUGGUAAUCGUCGCGGCCACGCCGUUAAACCCCAACUUCUGAAUGUUGACCUCGGAUCAGGUAGGAAUACCCGCUGAACUUAAGCAUAU